GAUGAACGCUAGCUACAGGCUUAACACAUGCAAGUCGAGGGGUCUUUUGGAGCUUGCUUUGAAAGACGACCGGCGCACGGGUGAGUAACGCGUAUCCAACCUGCCCUUCAUAUUGGGAUAGCCUUCCGAAAGGAAGAUUAAUACCGAAUAACAUGAGAUAGUUGCCUGAUUUUCUCAUGAAAGCUCCGGCGAUGAAGGAUGGGGAUGCGUUCCAUUAGGUAGUAGGCGGGGUAACGGCCCACCUAGCCAACGAUGGAUAGGGGUUCUGAGAGGAAGGUCCCCCACACUGGAACUGAGACACGGUCCAGACUCCUACGGGAGGCAGCAGUGAGGAAUAUUGGUCAAUGGUCGAGAGACUGAACCAGCCAUGCCGCGUGAAGGUCACGGCCCUAUGGGUUGUAAACUUCUUUUGUUUGGGAAUAAAAGACGCUACGUGUAGCGUUGUGCAUGUACCUUACGAAUAAGCAUCGGCUAAUUCCGUG
rnacentral:rRNA from 1 species